AAGUCGUAACAAGGUUUCCGUAGGUGAACCUGCGGAAGGAUCAUUACAAAUCGUGUGGGAUUGGGACUAUCUUUCUGAGGUAGUACCAAGCACCCACUAUAUGUUCGGGGCAGCAAUGCUUCGUGACAUUUACGCUUGUAUGUUUGACAAAGUUAGAUGUGAUUUAAUAAAGACAACUUUUAACAAUGGAUCUCUUGGCUCUU
rnacentral:misc_RNA from 1 species